rnacentral:rRNA from 1 species
GGGCCCGCACAAGCGGUGGAGCAUGUGGUUUAAUUCGAUGAUACGCGAGGAACCUUACCAGGGCUUAAAUGUAGUCUGACAGGGGUGGAAACACCUCCUCCUUCGGGCAGAUUACAAGGUGCUGCAUGGUUGUCGUCAGCUCGUGCCGUGAGGUGUCAGGUUAAGUCCUAUAACGAGCGCAACCCCUGCCGUUAGUUGCCAGCAUGUAAUGAUGGGAACUCUAACGGGACUGCCGGUGCAAACCGCGAGGAAGGUGGGGAUGACGUCAAAUCAUCACGGCCCUUACGUCCUGGGCUACACACGUGCUACAAUGGCCGGUACAGAGGGCAGCCACACCGCAAGGUGGAGCGAAUCCUUAAAACCGAUCUCAGUUCGGAUCGCAGUCUGCAACUCGACUGCGUGAAGCUGGAAUCGCUAGUAAUCGGAUAU